ACCAGACUCCUACGGGAGGCAGCAGUGGGGGAUAUUGCACAAUGGGGGGAACCCUGAUGCAGCGACGCCGCGUGGGUGAAGAAGCGCCUCGGCGCGUAAAGCCCUGUCAGCAGGGAAGAAAAUGACGGUACCUGAAGAAGAAGCCCCGGCUAACUACGUGCCAGCAGCCGCGGUAAUACGUAGGGGGCAAGCGUUAUCCGGAUUUACUGGGUGUAAAGGGGGCGCAGACGGCGAUGCAAGCCAGGAGUGAAAGCCCGGGGCCCAACCCCGGGACUGCUCUUGGAACUGCGUGGCUGGAGUGCAGGAGGGGCAGGCGGAAUUCCUGGUGUAGCGGUGAAAUGCGUAGAUAUCAGGAGGAGCACCGGUGGCGAAGGCGGCCUGCUGGACUGCAACUGACGUUGAGGCUCGAAGGCGUGGGGAGCAAACAGGAUUAGAUACCCGCGUAA
rnacentral:rRNA from 1 species